rnacentral:rRNA from 1 species
UAGGGAAUCUUCCACAAUGGACGCAAGUCUGAUGGAGCAACGCCGCGUGAGUGAAGAAGGUCUUCGGAUCGUAAGGCUCUGUUGUUGGUGAAGAAGGAUAGAGGCAGUAACUGGUCUUUAUUUGACGGUAAUCAACCAGAAAGUCACGGCUAACUACGUGCCAGCAGCCGCGGUAAUACGUAGGUGGCAAGCGUUGUCCGGAUUUAUUGGGCGUAAAGCGAGCGCAGGCGGAAUGAUAAGUCUGAUGUGAAAGCCCACGGCUCAACCGUGGAACUGCAUCGGAAACUGUCAUUCUUGAGUGCAGAAGAGGAGAGUGGAACUCCAUGUGUAGCGGUGGAAUGCGUAGAUAUAUGGAAGAACACCAGUGGCGAAGGCGGCUCUCUGGUCUGCAACUGACGCUGAGGCUCGAGAGCAUGGGUAGCGAACAGGAUUAGAUACCCUGGUAGUCCAUGCCGUAAACGAUGAGCGCUAGGUGUUGGGGACUUUCCGGUUCUCAGUGCCGCAGCAAACGCAUUAAGCGCUG